UACGUAGGAGGCAAGCGUUGUCCGGAUUUACUGGGUGUAAAGGGUCCGCAGGCGGAUGUGUAAGUCGGUGGUGAAAUCCUACGGCUCAACCGUAGAACUGCCUCCGAUACUGCAUAUCUUGAAUAUAGGAGAGGGCAAUGGAAUUCCAGGUGUAGCGGUGAAAUGCUUAGAUAUCUGGAAGAACACCGGUUGCGAAGGCUGUUGCCUGGCCUAUUAUUGACGCUCAGGGACGAAAGCGUGGGGAUCAAAC
rnacentral:rRNA from 1 species